GUGUCAGCAGCCGCGGUAAAACGUAGGAGGCGAGCGUUAUCCGGAUUUACUGGGUGUAAAGCGCGUGCAGGCGGUUUGGUAAGUUGGAUGUGAAAGCUCCUGGCUUAACUGGGAGAGGUCGUUCAAAACUACCAGACUUGAGGGCGGUAGAGGGAGGUGGAAUUCCGUGUGUAGUGGUGAAAUGCGUAGAUAUACGGAGGAACACCAGUGGCGAAAGCGGCCUCCUAGACCGAUCCUGACGCUCAGACGCGAAAGCUAGGGUAGCAAACGGGAUUAGAUACCCCGGUAGUCC
rnacentral:rRNA from 1 species